rnacentral:rRNA from 1 species
AGUGAACGCUGGCGGUAGGCCUAACACAUGCCAGUCGAACGGCAGCACAGUAAGAGCUUGCUCUUACGGGUGGCGAGUGGCGGACGGGUGAGGAAUACAUCGGAAUCUACUUUUUCGUGGGGGUUAACGUAGGGAAACUUACGCUAAUACCGCAUACGACCUACGGGUGAAAGCAGGGGAUCUUCGGACCUUGCGCGGUUGAAUGAGCCGAUGCCGGAUUAGCUAGUUGGCGGGGUAAAGGCCCACCAAGUCGACGAUCCGUAGCUGGUCGGAGAGGAUGAUCGGCCACACUGGAACUGAGACACGGUCCAGACUCCUACGGGAGGCAGCAGUGGGGAAUAUUGGACAAUGGGCGCAAGCCUGAUCCAGCCAUACCGCGUGGGUGAAGAAGGCCUUCGGGUUGUAAAGCCCUUUUGUUGGGAAAGAAAAGCAGCAGGUUAAUACCCCGCUGUUCUGACGGUACCCAAAGAAUAAGCACCGGCUAACUUCGUG